rnacentral:rRNA from 1 species
GCGGUUACACCCCUUUACACGAGGUCAACAGAGGUGCAGCUAAGAGGUGGUUAAGCAUGAAAAACUGGGAAAAUAAGAGGCGCUAACGCAAGGGUGAAAUCAGAGCGUUAGGUAGCAGAUAGAGCUGCCGAAAGCAAAUGUCUUAGUUCCAUAAUGUUGAGGCCACGAAGCCCUAGACUAUAGACCCGGAUUAGGGACCCGGUUAUUCUAGCGGUGUCAAUUCCGGCGAGUGACACAUAUAGCAUAGAUUUGAAAUAUGAGGACUUAGUGUCGUGGGGAGCCGCGUUAGUUCCUCUCGUCUGCUUGGGGUACUACGAACAACUGUUUAAAACUCGAAGAACUUGGCCGUGCUGCAUAACCAUCCACGGGCUCUUGACGCUUAAUCCGAUGAUCCGCGUGAAAUCUUACCUGCUCUUGUCAAAUCAGGUGACGUAUGGCCGUCGAAAUGGCCCAUGAAGUGAUUGUUCAACAAUGUCACGAGCGGGAAACCUCCCAAUCGCGUGCAUUAAGGACAGGGAAAGAUCGAGGUUCUAAGGCAGGUCGACACGUCCCCAAUGGGCAAGGGGUUAGUUGAGAGACAAAUUCUUAAACGUACCGAGCCGCCGGCUGAAAUGCUUUCGGCGAGGAGGACUUGGGAGUAAAGAGGAAGUAAUUCGUUCUCUAGAAAUGUAGUAACUGCAGCGGGUACAAAUCGCCCGUCAAUCUAGCCGAGAGGGGAGAUAAGUCGA